GACGGAGGGUGCUAGCGUUGUUCGGAAUCCCUGGGCGUAAAGGGCGCGUAGGCGGCGCCGGCAGUCGGCCGUGAAAGCCCGGGGCUCAACCCCGGAGGUGCGGCCGAGACGCCGGUGCUGGAGGCCGGAAGAGGAGGGUGGAAUACCCAGUGUAGAGGUGAAAUUCGUAGAUAUUGGGUGGAACACCGGUGGCGAAAGCGGCUCUCUGGUCCGGACCUGACGCUGAGGCGCGAAAGCGUGGGGAGCAAACAGG
rnacentral:rRNA from 1 species